AACGAACGCUGGCGGCAUGCCUAACACAUGCAAGUCGAACGAAGCCUUCGGGCUUAGUGGCGCACGGGUGCGUAACGCGUGGGAAUCUGCCCUUGGGUUCGGAAUAACAGUUAGAAAUGACUGCUAAUACCGGACGAUGUCUUCGGACCAAAGAUUUAUCGCCCAAGGAUGAGCCCGCGUAGGAUUAGGUAGUUGGUGGGGUAAUGGCCCACCAAGCCGACGAUCCUUAGCUGGUCUGAGAGGAUGAUCAGCCACACUGGGACUGAGACACGGCCCAGACUCCUCGGGGGGGAAGCAGGGGGGAAUAUGGGAAAAGGGGAGAAAGCCUGACCCAGAAAGCCCGCGGGAGUGAUGAAGGCUUUGGGUUUGAAAAGCUCUUUUACCAGGGAUGAUAGGGACAGUACCGGGAGAAUAAGCUCCGGCUAACUCCGUGCCAGCAGCCGCAGUAA
rnacentral:rRNA from 1 species